rnacentral:tRNA from 1 species
GUCCUCUUAGUUAAAUGGAUAUAACGAGCCCCUCCUAAGGGCUAAUUGCAGGUUCGAUUC